UAAAAAGGUCUGGGAGUUUGAGGUAAAAAUGUAAAAUAUUAUAAUUUGAUAUUCGGGUUAUUUGAAUUAUUCGAGUUCAAAAACCAAACUCAAUUCGAACUCGAAAUUCAAAAAAAAAUUGAGUUGACUCGAAUAACUUGAUUAAUUUAAAUAACUUGAUUCGUUUAACUCGAAAUUUAAUUUUUUUCGAUUUUUUUGAGUCAAAUCGAAAUUUUCUCACCCUUAACUACAUCCGCUGCCAUGCCAACCUAGUUUGACCUCUACUGUGCCAAAAUAUCCACUCUCCACUUGAGAGCCUUCUUCUGUCCAGCUCGGUGUUAGCCUUUGGAUAAGAAUAAAAUGUUAAAGAUACUGACUACUUGGAAAUAGAGAAAAAAAGUUACAUCGAUUACAUUGGAUGUCCCCAAAGUUUUUUCAUAUGAUUAUGACCCUAAUAUUAUGUUUGGUAUAUAUAGGGCACCAUUUGCAGGUAUCCAAAAAACUUGAACUCUUGACCAUGUAAUGACCGUCACCUAGCCCCCCAGUUCCACUCGAACCCGUGGCCACAUCACGGCAUCCAGCUGGGACCUCCACCUAGACUUCGACCCUUGAUCAUAUCAAGCAUUAUUACCCCGAAACCUGAUUUUCCCACGAUGAGUUUUUGAGGUGAUGGUCCUAUCCUGCCAUGACAUAUGAAAUGUAUUUGUUCUGAAGCACGUUAUCACAUCCCGGACCCCUCUAAUCUACUUAUGAACUUUUUUGGUUUCAAUAAAAAAUUUUAAUUCAUAAAUCUAAAAACCAUAACCCUAAGAAAAUUAAAAACCUGAACCUAGGAGAGGAAAGAGAAAGGAAAAGUGCGUUUAGCUGGACACGCUUUCCUGCCAACUAUACAGAAAAUGCACCCACUUUUCAUUUCUUUCUUCUAAAACCAACCUAUUUCCUUAAUUAAAAAAAAGUCCUAAAGGCUUAAUUAAAAAAAACCUUGUAAUCCCCAAUUGGUGCCCGGGGCCCAAACUUAAUACAAACCCAAAUACAACACUCAGCCCAAAUACUUUUAAACCCAAAAAAUGGCCCAAAACACAAUAAUCCACACUGGCCCAAUACCUAGCCCUAACAAUUCUCAACAGCAGAAACCUUAGGUAGUUUUCGUGCUUCAGUGCCGCAGCAACCGCUUCCACGCCCCACGUUCAUCACUCGCGCAUGUCCUCCACGACCUUUACACCUACGGAAAAACUAAUCCAAACGACAGUAGAUGUGGCAAAUAACGGGAUAGAUAGUUUUUAUGAUUAUUUUGGUACAUCUCGGCUAUAAAGAGACUGAUUUAAAUCUAUAAAAUGUGGGGGUUUAGAAAUUUUUUGGUACUGAAAUCAAAAAGAAAAUAUACAGAAAAAUAGUUUUGAAGGUAGAAUUUUGUUUUAUUUUUCUCUGUUCUUUUACUGCCUUUUUUAAGUUAUUUUGGUUCUUUUCUUUUUAUUUCUUAAAAACAAAACACGAAAAGGGUGAGGGGGAGGAGGACUUACCGUCAAGAGAUUCGUUGGGCGCUCUCGUUAGCCGUUAUCUGGUCGGAAAAGGGAGGAGAUUGGAACGGCAGAGGAGGGGUUUUGAGAGGAGUUGCGGCGCACCACAAAAGUGGCAGAGAAAGGGAAUGACUUUAGGGUUUUUAAAAUGGGAUUUUAUUAGGGUUCAAAAGGGGCCAUUUGCGCUAUUGGUCCUUUGCUUUUUGGGGUUGUUUAAAUUAAAUUUAUUAUUUCCUUUAAAUUUUACUGCAUGUUUUAUAAUUGUUUUAAAUUGGUCCUAUGCUGCGCAACAUUGUAGGUUUGGGUAAAUUUCUCGUUCAGUCCUCCCCCUGUUGUGCGUGUUUUAAUUUACUCCCUUUCAUGUUAUUUUGUAAUUAGUUUUUUAAAUUCUGUUUUUUUUAAUUUAAUCCUUAAUUUAUUAUUUUUAGUUUUUAUUAUAUUGUCAAUAUGGUUCAUUUACGUUAUUAUUACUGUAUGGUUAUUAGUUCAUUAUUAUAUGUUAUAUUAUUAUUAUAUUUGUUUAUAUGCGCAUAUGCCUCUUAAUAUACAUAUAUAUACCUUUUUAAAACGUUUUAAAUAUAUACUAUAUACAUAUCAUAUAUUUUAUUAUUAUUUUAUUUUUCUUAGCUUUAUAUUCAUAUGUAUGCGUAUAUAUUUUUAUAAUAUUUAUAUUUUUUAUAUCUUAUGAUCCAAAAAUAAAUAUUUUUUAUAAUAUGUAUACACAUAUACUUACGUUAUUCCAUAUUUUUAUAAAUAUAUCCGUUAAAUUAUAUAUAUAUAUAAACAUACAUAUGUCAAUACUUUUUAUAAUUACUAAAUAUUAUGCUUAUAUUUUAGUUUUUAUAAACUUUAUAUAUAUAUUUAUUAUGUUUAUUAUUUUUGUAUACAUGAAUAUAUAUGCAUCAAUAUUUUGUCAUACUUUAAAAAAUAAAUAUUUUGAUUUUAUCAAAACAUUAAAAUUAUUUUUAUGAUUCAAAGGUUUUCAAAAUAAAAAACGAUAUUCAAAGUUAGGGAUUCUCGAGGAAAAUUGAGCCCUAACGCAUUGAGUUCCGAUUUUCUUUGUUAAUUCUAAAUAACCGAGAAUAUGAGUUAUUUAAAAUAUAUAAAUAAAAAUCAUUUUCGGGAAUUCAAUAUGUUAUGUCCUAACGCAUUGGGCAUGACAUAUUGCUUUCUCGAAAUGAAGAUUUUCUUUAAUUUUUUUUUUAAAAGGUGAUAUUCAAAAUUCGGGGAUUUUGAGAAAAUUUAUCCUAACGUAUUGGGUUUCAAUUUCUUCGCAUGACUUGAAUACUUGAUUAUCCUUUUCGGAUUUCAAUAUUUGAGUUUAACAAAAUCUUUUUAAUUUUCGAUACCAAGACAUUAAAUAAUCAAUUUGGUACCGAUUUUUGGGCGUUACGAGGGUGCUAACCCUUCCUCGUGCGUAACUGACUCCCGAACCCAUUUUCUCAAAUUUCGUAGACCAAAUUUGUUUUUAAGGUGAGCCGGUCACACCUAAAUCAUGGAUCGGUGGCGACUCCAAUUUUUUUUUUCGAUAACCAAAUUUUUGUUUAAAAAUGGUUUCGACAGCUUGGCGACUCCGCUAGGGACUGGUUAGAGAGUCGAGCCGUAAAUUGAUUAAUUUUUGUCUUUUGGUCGAAAAGUCAAAUUUUGUUUUAAAAUUCAUGAUUUCCCCUUUGCAUUCAUGGGUUCUUAUUAUGAUAUGUUUGUUUAAUUGGUCUAAGUUUGUUAGUGUGUUUGCAUUUUGCAUUACAUGGACGAUUUUACCCCUCUAAGUGGGAGUGAGAAGCUACUCCUUCGUGAGGUGUUCACCUCCGUGCAGGAUAGUGGAUCGCUUUCGGGAUACAUCUGUACCUAUGUCUUCAUGAGAUUUUCAUCUCUGUGUAGCCAUAGGGAAAUGUAUUCCCCUGAACUGAACUCGGUCUAUAUGAGCCUAUAAUGGGUGAGGAUCGAGGAAUCUGCUGGUUCGGGUACCCUUGCUCUAGAAGCUAAACCUCAUAUAGUGAACUUUAGGAACUUACCAUAGGUAGAAUUAUACCAAACCCUAGUAGUUACCCAAGUAGGUAUUUCAUUAUUUUCUGUUUGUUUUUAUACCUGAUACUGACUUGUUGUGUUUUGUUUUGACUGCAUGACAUUUUGAUUGCAUUGCAUUUUCAUCUUAGAAAAGAAAUGUUGAUUCAAGUUCGAUUACUGACUUAGAAAGCUUGUCAUGGAAUACGGAUUUCUUGAUAAAAUGGAAGAUAAUACAGUUGCCCGAAUAUAUCUUGAGAAACACGAUAAGGGCGAUGGAAGAGUUCAUGACUUUGUGGCCCGAGGAUUCAAGAUGAUUAUUCGAGAGCUGUCGACAUUCCAAAUUCCUUAAAGAAGCUAAUAAGCCUUACGAGGAUGGGCAGACGAUGGAUUGCAACCAAUAUCAAGUAAAAAGGAGCUAGUAGUGCUGUUCAUUGGAAAUUUGCGAGAUUUAUCUUAAACAUCCAGAUGAAGUAAGAGGUCGAUGUUUCUUGGAGUAUGAGGGCGAGGCCGUACAUGCAUCCGUUUUGUGUAAAGAAGUUUGUCUUCUAGUGAAGUUUUCUAAAUAGAAUUGAAUCAGAAUCAACGUCUCUUUAUGCAUUCAUUUCAUGCAUUCGCAUUACAUGACAUCAUAUGCAUUAAAAUCCAUUAAAAAGGCCUAAUUGGGUAAAAUUGUUUCAAUCAAUUUGGAAAAUCGACACCCUUAUGGCACCCAAGUAAAGACUAGAGAAAUGGACCAAAGGUUGGAGAAAUUAGAGCGAAUGUAAAUACAGAUGCAAGAGCAACUAACUGAAUUUCAACAGGAAAUGAGAGAUAUGAUAAUGGAAUUACAGAGAGCUAUUACGAAUCAGUUAACCCGGUUGCUAGCUGGAGAGUUAGAGAAGGGAAAGACUCAGUGGUUCAUUAUGUGGUUGAUAAUGAGGAUCUUGCCUAUUCCCUAGGUUGUACUCCAAUAAAUGUCCAGGUCCAGCCAGAUGGGCGUCCACAAGAGGCACUCUUUACUAUUAGAUCCCAACAAUAUCAAACUGGCACAUCGACACCAGUAAGUUGCUUGACAGGCUUAGGAUCCAAUUUGAGGAACAAUUUAGCUAAUCCUAUUGCUAUUGAUAGCCCAGCAGAAGUAAAGUAGGCAAGGGAAGGGUACCCAAAUACUACAAAGGCCCUAAAAAAGAAGGGGAAUAAGAGGGAUAAUGCAGAUAGAUAUAACAAGGGUCACUCAAAACUAAUCACUGUGGGCCGGCCAAGGAUAGAAACUACUAGCCAUCCGAGCCCUUUAAAGCAAGAAUCUUGCACGAAGACAAAUACAGAAAGGCCUCAGUUCACGCCUAUACCGAUGUCAUAUAGCGAGCUAUAUGAGAGCCUAUUUAAUGCAUACGUCGUUGCCCCUUUCUACUUAAAGCCUUUGCAACCUCCGUAUCCUAAAUGGUAUGAUGCAAAUGCUCAGUGUGAAUACCAUGCGAGAAUUGCGGGGCUUUCGAUAGAAAAUUGCACUACUUUCAAGAAACUAGUUGAGAGGUUCAUCAAUAGGGGUAUUGUCAAGUUUGAUGACUCAUCUAAUCUGCUACCCAAUCAUGUUAAUAAUGGGGUAAGAGUGAGAGCAAGAAGGGGAUUAGUUAUUUCUGAUUCAAGAGGUAACCAUAGAAAUGCAUUGAACCAUCGUGAGUUCCAUCACGAGAAGAGAUACGAUACCCAAGAGAGUGUGGAACUCAAGACCUUGGUUUCGGGCAUGAUUGAUGACAAAGAGAUAGAGUUUUGUGAGGAAAUUAAAGAGGAGAGAAAUAUACACACAAUGUUGAGAAGUGUUCACAUCAAUGCCAUAUAUGAAGACACUUGAAAAGGGACCUUGUUAGAUAUCCACUCUUAUAAAUUUGGGAGUGUUCUAAAAAUCAGAUUGUAGAGGAAAUUUCUGUAGUUUUAGAACUUACUUAGAGUAAUGUUCAAAACACACUUGUUGCUUUUAGCCUAGAGGCAAUAAGAAUUCCAUUGUGAAAUAGGCUCAUGUUUGAACGUCAUUAUUCUAUGAAUACAUCUUUGCAUUCAUUUUUGAGCCAAUAUUCUUUCAUUCUUUUCGAAUAAUUCUAGAUUCUUUCAUUCUUUUAGAUUUUUUCCAAAUCAUUCAUUCAUUUAAUUCAUAAUCAUAUUGUACAGAUAACUAUUCAUAAAUUUAACAUUCUUUUGUAUAUUCUUUGGUAUUUAUUAUGGGCCCCCAAAUAUCAAUGACUUGAAUGACACUGCUACAGAUUUAGAAUCUCCUUUUGAGCAAGACAUGUGUUUAGAGGGAUCUCAUGACUUUGAAGAUGACAUAGAUCGUAGCCUAUCUCCAGACUUGUUGAGGAUGGUAGAGCAAGAAGAGAACAAAUUUUACCUCUUGAAGAGACACUGGAGAUUGUGACCUCGAGGGAACAUGUAUAACCGGAGAAACGAAGCAAGACCUUGUUAAGUUACUUCAAGAGUUCAAAGAUGUCUUCGUAUGGUUAUACCAGGAUAUGCCUAGGUUAAGCACUGAUAUUGUAAUCUGACCAAUAGCACAACGUUAAAAAUUUGCAGUAUGUUCAAGAUUCACAUCAUGAACGAUACAGUUAGAAUUCUUUACCGAGGUAAUACCUUCUUCUCUGACUUAUCCCGUUGAAGUCAAGUUGUCAUUUUUUCGUAUUUUUGUUGGAUUUCAUCCUAAUUGAAGAGAAAGAUCCAAAGUUUUUUCAUCUUAGUUAAAUUUCGCCCUAAAAGGCUCUACGAGAGAAACCUAACACCAAAGAAGAUCUUUCGCAUACAAAAUGAAAGUGGAAGAUCUUAUGGGGAAGACCUUAUCUAGAAUAAUAUUGAUUCUGAUCAAAAGGGAUGACCAGGAUUUGCCUAGUCCCAUGGAUGCAGAUUCAAUGCAAAAAAAACAAAAAAAACAAAAACAAAAGCAAAAACAAAAACAAAAAAAAAGAGGGAAAAAGGAAAAAAAAAUAAGAAAAAAAAACAAAAACAAAAAGAAACAAAAAAAACCUCCACCGGGGCAAUGCCUUUCUCUUUAGCUUAUCAUGGUUUUUCCAUUGAAGUUGAAAUUCUUUUUCUCUGGGUAUUGGCUGAGUUGAAGUAGGAUGAAGAUCCAAUCUCGAUAUGAUCAGUUGAACUUAAUUGAAGGAAAAAGGCUAAAAGUUAUUCGUCACGGUCAGAUGUACCAAAAACGGAUAAUGCGAGCUUACAACAAAAAGGUUCGUCUCAGAGAAUUCCACGACAGAGAUUUGGUAUUGAAAAGAUCCUUCAUCUACAAAAAGAUUUUUUAGAGAAAUGAGUGCCAAAUUGGGAAUGUCCUUAUGUUGUAAAGAAUACCUUUUCUGGAGGAGCACUGAUUUUGAGUGAGAUGGAUAGUAAAAACUUGUCUAAUCCUAUAAACUCAGAAUCAGUCAAGAAAUACUUCGCUUAAAGAAGGAGAGGACCAAGGUAAAAAUCCGCAAAGGGCACUUUGAGUCGCAAAAAAAAAGAGAAGAAAAAAUAUGUGAAAAAACAAAAAUGGAAAAAUGAAAAAUUAAAAAUAGAAAAAGUAAAAAUGGAGAGGCUAAGGUGAAAACUCGCAAAGGGCGCCUUAGACCAAAAGGGAUUUGAGUUGAAAACCCGAAAAGGGUGGCUCAAAUUUUGAUCAGAAUAGGGCUGGAAAUGAUUAGAGUGGCUCAGAUUUUGAUUGGAAUGGGGCGUGUGGUGGUCUUGAUAUACCUGAAUCAACAGGAAAAGGUAUGCGACAUCUUGGGGCAUCGACAAAGUAUUGUAGAUAUCCUAAACACAUGUCAAACUCAGAAUGGUCUUUAGGAAGUUUGUACAGAGAAGUUCAAGCUGCGUUAUCUGGGGCACCUAGUCUUCAUACUAUUUAUAUUGAAUUGCUUAUUCUUGGAAUACUUCAUUCUUUUCAAGAUAUGAGUCAAUUCCUCUUUUAUUCUCAAUAUUAUUGAUAUAUUCAUUUCAAGCUAUGCUCUCAAAUCAAUUAUAUUUUAUCCAUUGUUUUAUUCUUUUGGCAAGCGUGUUGUAUUAGAAUAAUGAUUAAUGGACUAAUAAAACUUUCACAAAGGAAGUUUUACAUAUUACUCUAGAAGUUUCUAAAUAAUACAGGAACCUGAAACAAGUCUAUUGUUUAGAAUACACCUAGUUUAAAGGUGGGAAAUCUAAGAAGGAAGAGUCUAAAUUAAGACUAUCUCUUUGGAUUUUGUUGUCAAAGGAAUUAAUUGAACAAAAUGACAAGAUGUCGUGUUGGUGAUAAAGCUUCAUUGAGCAAAUAAGCAAUGAUGAUCAGGCAAUAGAAAGAGGUUACCUCGAAGAAGAGAGCCUUCAUUUUUGCAUGAGUCUUUGGUAUGACACCUUGGGAACGGUGUAAAGAACUAGAACAAUUUAGGUCUUGUAUCCUUGAAUUGUGAUAAGGAAGGAUUGAGGAAAAGCCACAUAUUUUUACCAUUGGGUUACGGUGGAAAAACGAUAGUACAAUUUUUACAUCCCAGUGGAUUAAACUUUGAGGUUUACAGUGGGGGAAACCUGAUUAAAUGUUUCUUCUGAAAAGCCAGCUAAGCAAGAAGGCGUUGUAGCACGUCAGAGAUAAAGCCUUAAUAAACUUUGAGCAAUGAUAACCUAAGAAGGAUCAUUCUUGAAAAAAAAUAGAAUAAAAUUUUGCAUUCAUGCAAACACCAUUCACACCUGUCUAGUUAGGAGCAUUGGAUUCAUUUUGAUCAUGCCAUUAGGCAUAAUUAGGUUCAUUAUACAGGUUAUGUUUUAUAGAGAACAGAUCAGGGGAAAUGGCAGAUCUUGCCUUCCUGCAUAGACAGCGAAGCAGAUCAAAGAUGGCAGAUUUUACCUUCCUGUGGUUACAGUGGAGUACAUUGAAGCCAGUAAUUCUACUUCCCUGGGCAGCAGUGGAAUAGAUUGAAGAUUUCAGAUCUUGUCUCCCUAAGCAGUAGUGGAGUAGAUCAAAGAUGACAGAUUUUACCUCCCUGUGGUUACAGUGGAGUACAUUGAAGCCAAUAAUUCUACUUCCUUGGGCAGCAGUGGAAUAGAGUGAAGAUUACAUAUCUUAUCUCCCUAAGAAGUAGCAGAGUAGAUCGAAUACACUAACCUUGCCUCCCUUGGUGGCAGCGGAGCAGGUUAAAAAAAAUUUACAGAUCUUAUCUCCCUAGGCAGUAGCGGAGUAGAUCGAAGACACUAACCUUGCCUCCCUCGGUGGCAGCGGAGCAGGUUAAAGAUAGCAAAUCUUACCUUCCUAUACUGACAGUGAAGCAGAUCGAAGACGCUAACCUUGCCUCCCUCGGUGGCAGCGGAGCAGGUUAAAAAAAUUACAGAUCUUAUCUCCCUAAGCAGUAGUGGAGUAGAUCGCAACCAGCCUUGUCUCCCUGGCAAUAGUGGAGUAGGUUGAAAAUAGCAGAUCUUGCCUUCCUGUACUGACAGAGAAGCAAAUCGAAGAUACUAACCUUGCCUCCCUCGGUGGCAACGGAACAGGUUAAAGAUAGCAGAUCUUGCCUUCCUGUACUGGCAGUGAAGCAGAUCGAAGACACCAGUCUUAUCGCCUUGACGAUUGAAGCCACAAUGGCAAAUCUUAUUUCCUUGGCGUUGUAGCGGAGUAGAUUGAAGCCACGAAGGCGUAUAUUAUCUCCCUGGCGUUAAGGCUUGGUUUAGCUGAAGUGGAGCGGAUUGAAGUUGUGGGAGGCGAAUCCUAUCUCUUUGGCAUUACAGUGGAACGGAUUGAAGCCACAACGGCAGGUCUUAUCUCCCUGAGGUUGCAGUGGAGCGGAUUAAAACCACAGAUCUUACUCUCUGAAGUUGUAGAGAGCAGAUCGCAUCAGACUUAUCUUUAAAGUUUUAGCAAAAUAAGUUGAAGUUACAAGUCUUAACUCCCUGAAGUUGCAGUGAGGCAGACUAAAGAUAACAGAUUUUGUUCUUUUUAGAAGCUACAAGGUACAAAUCUUAUCUCCCUGAUGUUGCACUGGAGUGGAUCAAAGUACCAAUUCUUAUACCUCUGAAGAUGCAAUUGGUUAGAACGAGGUUACUUGAAGAAGAGAAGCACUGAAGAAGUUGAGGCUCGGUAAGACCGGGCACAAUUGGGCUUUUUAGUCUUUGCUCUGUUCCCAUUACAUGACAACGAGCAAAGAGGGGCAGCUAUAAUACCCAAUUGGUGCUCGGGGCCCAAACUUAAUACAAACCCAAAUACAACACUCAGCCCAAAUACUUUUAAAUCCAAAAAAUGGCCCAAAACACAAUAAUCCACACUGGCCCAAUACCUAGCCCUAACAAUUCUCAACAGUAGAAACCCUAGGUAGUUUUCGUGCUUCAGUGCCGCAG
rnacentral:lncRNA from 1 species